rnacentral:tRNA from 1 species
GGGUACAGCUCAGUGGUAGAGCGCAUGCUUAGCAUGCACGAGGUCCUAGGUUCAAUUCCCUGUACCUCCA